AGAGUUUGAUCCUGGCUCAGGAUGAACGCUAGCUACAGGCUUAACACAUGCAAGUCGAGGGGAAACGACAUCGAAAGCUUGCUUUUGAUGGGCGUCGACCGGCGCACGGGUGAGUAACGCGUAUCCAACCUGCCCAUCACUUGGGGAUAACCUUGCGAAAGUAAGACUAAUACCCAAUGACGUCUCUAGAAGACAUCUGAAAGAGAAUUAAAGAUUUAUCGGUGAUGGAUGGGGAUGCGUCUGAUUAGCUUGUUGGCGGGGUAACGGCCACAAGGCGACGAUCAGUAGGGGUUCUGGAGAGGAAGGUCCCCCANAUUGGAACUGAGACACGGUCCAAAUCCCUACGAGAGGCA
rnacentral:rRNA from 1 species